CGGUUGAUCCUGCCGGACCCUACUACUAUUGGGGUGAGACUAAAACAUGCAAGUUGAGCGUCCUCAAGCUAUUGCAGGACGCAGCGUAUGGCUCAGUAACACGUGGCCAACCUACCCUUGGGACGGGAAUAACCUCGGGAAACUGAGGCUAAUUCCCGAUAGGUGAGGAUGCCUGGAAUGGAUCCUCACCCAAAGGACGUCAAGAGGCAUGCUUCUUGACGUCGCCCAAGGAUGGGGCCGCGUCCGAUCAGGUUGUUGGUGAGGUAACGGCUCACCAAGCCUAUAACCGGUACGGGCCGUGAGAGCGGUAGCCCGGAGAUGGGUACUGAGACAAGGACCCAGGCCCUACGGGGCGCAGCAGUUGCGAAACCUCCGCAAUGCGCGAAAGCGCGACGGGGUCACCCCAAGUGCUAUCCUCUGAGGAUAGCUUUUAUUCGACGUAAUGAGUCGAAAGAAUAAGGGGAGGGCAAGACUGGUGUCAGCCGCCGCGGUAAUACCAGCUCCCCGAGUGGUAGGGAUAAUUAUUGGGCUUAAAGCGUUCGUAGCCGGCCUGCUAAGUCUCCCGUUAAAUCCAGCGACCUAAUCGUUGGGCAGCGGGAGAUACUAGCAGGCUAGGAGGCGGGAGAUGCCGACGGUAUUCUCGGGGUAGGGGUGAAAUCCUAUAAUCCUGAGAGGACCACCAGUGGCGAAGGCGGUCGGCAAGAACGCGCUCGACGGUGAGGGACGAAAGCUGGGGGAGCGAACCGGAUUAGAUACCCGGGUAGUCCCAGCUGUAAACGAUGCGGGCUAGGUGUUGGAGCGGUUACGAACCGCUUCAGUGCCGCAGGGAAACCGUUAAGCCCGCCGCCUGGGAAGUACGGUCGCAAGACUGAAACUUAAAGGAUUUGGCGGGGGAGCAC
rnacentral:rRNA from 1 species